rnacentral:misc_RNA from 1 species
GAUGAAGAACGCAGUGAAAUGCGAUACUUGGUGUGAAUUGCAGAAUCCCGUGAACCAUCGAGUCUUUGAACGCAAGUUGCGCCCGAAGCCAUUAGGCCGAGGGCACGCCUGCCUGGGCGUCACACGUCGUUGCCCCCCCAUCUACUCCUUCGGGAUUGCGGGGGGCGGAUGAUGGCCUCCCGUGCGCCUCGCCGCGCGGUUGGCAUAAAUGCCAAGUCCUCGGCGACGCACGCCACGACAAUCGGUGGUUGCGAAACCUCGGUUGCCCGUCGUGUGCGGUCGUCGCGCAUCGAGGGCUCGAAAAAAUUGCCGGGUUCCGGCUCGGCUUUCAACGCGACCCUAGGUCAGGCGGGGUUACCCGCUGAAUUUAAGCAUAUCAAUAAGCGGAGGA